rnacentral:lncRNA from 1 species
UGGUUCUUUAAAAGAUGUCAUUUGUAUGCAUUCCCCAUAGGGUCCUAUGUUAAACUAAGUCCCCCCGCUGGCGGCCAUCUUGGAAGAUGGAUCAGCUACAAAGUAACAACACUUGGUCAGCACCUCAUAAGGAACAUUUCAGCCAUAUUUGGUUUCAUUCCAUUCAGUGGUUCUCUAAAAGAUGUCAUUUGUAUGCAUUUCCCAUAGGGUCCUAUGUUAAACUAAGUCCCCUCGCUGGCGGCCAUCUUGGAUGAUGGAUCAGCUACAAAGUAACAACACUUGGUCAGCACCUCAUAAGGAACAUUCAUGCCAUGUUUGGUUUCAUUCCAUUCAGUGGUUCUCUAAAAGAUGUCAUUUGUAUGCAUUUCCCUUAGGGU